UUUAAAGAAAUAAGGACAGAGCACAACACGUCAAACUCUGAAAGCCACGCCCACCGGAGGGGAAAACAAUCGGAGCCGCAAUAUGCAACCAGCAAGGGCUGAAACAAACAAAAUGCCUGCAGCUAGCA